rnacentral:rRNA from 1 species
AGUGAACGCUGGCGGUAGGCCUAACACAUGCAAGUCGAACGGCAGCACAGUAAGAGCUUGCUCUUACGGGUGGCGAGUGGCGGACGGGUGAGGAAUACAUCGGAAUCUACUUUUUCGUGGGGGAUAACGUAGGGAAACUUACGCUAAUACCGCAUACGACCUACGGGUGAAAGCAGGGGAUCUUCGGACCUUGCGCGAUUGAAUGAGCCGAUGUCGGAUUAGCUAGUUGGCGGGGUAAAGGCCCACCAAGGCGGCGAUCCGUAGCUGGUCUGAGAGGAUGAUCAGCCACACUGGAACUGAGACACGGUCCAGACUCCUACGGGAGGCAGCAGUGGGGAAUAUUGGACAAUGGGCGCAAGCCUGAUCCAGCCAUACCGCGUGGGUGAAGAAGGCCUUCGGGUUGUAAAGCCCUUUUGUUGGGAAAGAAAAGCAGCAGGUUAAUACCCCGCUGUUCUGACGGUACCCGAAGAAUAAGCACCGGCUAACUUCGUG